rnacentral:rRNA from 1 species
AGCGAACGUUAGCGGCGGGCCUAACACAUGCAAGUCGAACGCGAAAGGUCUUCGGACUGAGUAGAGUGGCGCACGGGUGAGUAACACGUAGGUAAUCUACCCUUUGGCGGGGGAUAACGUUCCGAAAGGAGCGCUAAUACCGCAUAAGACCACGGAGUCUCCGGACGCUGUGGGAAAAGGUGGCCUCUUCUUGAAAGCUAUCACCGAAGGAUGAGCCUGCGUCCCAUCAGCUAGUUGGUAAGGUAAUGGCUUACCAAGGCGAAGACGGGUAGCUGGUUUGAGAGAAUGAUCAGCCACACUGGCACUGGAACACGGGCCAGACUCCUACGGGAGGCAGCAGUGAGGAAUAUUGGGCAAUGGGCGAAAGCCUGACCCAGCCACGCCGCGUGAGUGAUGAAGGCACUCGGGUCGUAAAGCUCUGUGGAGAGGGACGAAAACCCUGGUUUCAAAUAGGCUCCAGGCUUGACGGUACCUCUUUAGCAAGCACCGGCUAACUCUGUGCCAG